rnacentral:rRNA from 1 species
UAGGGAAUCUUCCGCAAUGGGCGAAAGCCUGACGGAGCAACGCCGCGUGAGUGAUGAAGGUCUUCGGAUCGUAAAACUCUGUUAUUAGGGAAGAACAAAUGUGUAAGUAACUAUGCACGUCUUGACGGUACCUAAUCAGAAAGCCACGGCUAACUACGUGCCAGCAGCCGCGGUAAUACGUUGGUGGCAAGCGUUAUCCGGAAUUAUUGGGCGUAAAGCGCGCGUAGGCGGUUUUUUAAGUCUGAUGUGAAAGCCCACGGCUCAACCGUGGAGGGUCAUUGGAAACUGGAAAACUUGAGUGCAGAAGAGGAAAGUGGGAUUCCAGGUGGAGCGGUGAAUUGCGCAGAGAUAUGGAGGAACACCAGUGGCGAAGGCGACUUUCUGGUUUGGAACUGACGCUGAUGUGCGAAAGCGUGGGGAUCAAACAGG